AGCAGCCGCGGUAAUUCCAGCUCCAAUAGCGUAUAUUAAAGUUGCUGCAGUUAAAAAGCUCGUAGUUGAAUUUCGGGAUCAAUAUGUCGGUCGUGCCUCGGUACGCACUGGCUUAUUGGUUUCUCCCUUCUGACGAACCAUGAUGUCAUUAAUUUGGUGUCUUGGGAAAUCAGGACUGUUACUUUGAAAAAUUAGAGUGUUUAAAGCAGGCUCACGCUUGAAUACAUUAGCAUGGAAUAAUGAAAUAGGAUGUUUGAUUCUAUUUUGUUGGUUUCUAGGAUCGACGUAAUGAUUAAUAGGGAUAGUUGGGGGCAUUAGUAUUCAAUUGUCAGAGGUGAAAUUCUUGGAUUUAUUGAAGACUAACUACUGCGAAAGCAUUUGCCAAGGAUGUUUUCAUUAAUCAAGAACGAAAGUUAGGGGAUCGAAGACGAUCAGAUACCGUCGUAGUCU
rnacentral:rRNA from 1 species